GGGUCUAUGAUGGCGCGGACAACCGAAGACGGUGCAGGUGCCCGGGCUCAUAACCCGGGAGAAUAGGGAAGCCGGUGAGAUUCCGGCGCGGACCCGCCA
rnacentral:tRNA from 1 species